rnacentral:rRNA from 1 species
GACGAACCGAGCGAACGUUGUUCGGAAUCACUGGGCUUAAAGGGCGCGUAGGCGGGCUGUCAAGUCUGGGGUGAAAUCCCGCGGCUCAACCGUGGAACUGCCUCAGAUACUGACGGCCUCGAGGGAGGUAGGGGCGAGCGGAACUAAUGGUGGAGCGGUGAAAUGCGUUGAUAUCAUUAGGAACUCCGGUGGCGAAGGCGGCCAUCUGGACGGAUACUGACGCUGAGACGCGAAAGCGUGGGGAGCAAACAGG